CAGCCAGUUCUAGCCAGUGGAAGGAUAAUGGGCUGCAGAGAGAGGACCCUGGAGACCUGACUAGCCAGUUCCAGACAGAGGGGCCACAGGGGAGCUUAGAGGAGAGGA